UGAGGAAUAUUGGUCAAUGGGUGCAAGCCUGAACCAGCCAUCCCGCGUGAAGGACGACUGCCCUAUGGGUUGUAAACUUCUUUUGUAUAGGGAUAAACCUACCCUCGUGAGGGUAGCUGAAGGUACUAUACGAAUAAGCACCGGCUAACUCCGUGCCAGCAGCCGCGGUAAUACGGAGGGUGCAAGCGUUAUCCGGAUUUAUUGGGUUUAAAGGGUCCGUAGGCGGACUUAUAAGUCAGUGGUGAAAGCCUGUCGCUUAACGAUAGAACUGCCAUUGAUACUGUAAGUCUUGAGUAUAUUUGAGGUAGCUGGAAUAAGUAGUGUAGCGGUGAAAUGCAUAGAUAUUACUUAGAACACCAAUUGCGAAGGCAGGUUACCAAGAUAUAACCGACGCUGAGGGACGAAAGUGUGGGGAGCGAACAGGAUUAGAUACCCUGGUAGUCCACGCCGUAAACGAUGCUAACUCGUUUUGGGCUUUAGGGUUCAGAGACCAAGCGAAAGUGAUAAGUUAGCCACCUGGGGAGUACGCUCGCAAGAGUGAAACUUAAAGGAAUUGACGGGGUCAUAGCUGUUUCCGU
rnacentral:rRNA from 1 species